UCUCUUUUUUGUAAUAAUUUAUUAAGAGUGGCAUUAGUGAUGAUGGGGUUGCGAGUACAAGAAGGGAGUGUAGUACAUGUGGUCGCUUGUACCUCAUUCGUUCAUCUUUUGAAAAGCUCUUUCACAUUGUUUCUUUUUUGUAAUAAUUAAUCCAGUUAGUUAAUACUUAGUAGUACAUAGGAUAGGACAGAAGAAAGAGGCACGUACUACUGUAAUGCUACAACUAGUACGUAUACUUAGUAGUACAUGGUAGGUAAUGCUGGUGAUUGAACUGGGUUUUGGUAGUACAUGUGUGUUGUGUACUGUAUAUCUAUAUGUGGUUUAUAUACAAACACCAGUAAGGGACAAAUAUUAUACCCACACACAAGUUGGAAAGAAGCAGAUGGAGAUGAGGCAAAUAUCAGUCUCAAACGCCAACCAAGAGGUAUUUGUCAUUCAUCGGCAGAUGCUCACUGCCCGUUCGUCAUCAGCUACUCAUAUACUUUGAAUUCAUUGCUAUGUGAAUCAAUGCCAUAUAUGCCUAUAUGCAAGUGACUGUUUGCAGGCUUCGUUACCUUUUCUGCUCGGCACAAGUUUGAAGGUUGAGAAUGCGUUUCAUAGGCACUGCAAUACAACAAGGCUUAGGCCCCAAGAAACAGCAAAAUUAUGGUUUCUGAAUAAAAUGAUUGUCUCUAUCUUUUCGGUUGAUUGUGAAUUCUGUUUCAGUUGUCCCAAUAUUCAAAUAUAGUUUCUUUUCGUAA